UACGGAGGGGGCUAGCGUUGUUCGGAAUUACUGGGAGUAAAGCGCGCGUAGGCGGACCUGCAAGUCGGGGGUGAAAGCCCGAGGCUCAACCUCGGAACUGCCUUCGAUACUGCGGGUCUCGAGUCCGGGAGAGGUGAGUGGAAUUCCUAGUGUAGAGGUGAAAUUCGUAGAUAUUAGGAAGAACACCAGUGGCGAAGGCGGCUCACUGGCCCGGUACUGACGCUGAGGCGCGAAAGCGUGGGGAGCAAACAGG
rnacentral:rRNA from 1 species